AGGAAAGAAAGAACGAAACAAACAAACAAACAUAUUCUCACAGUGUGUUCUUUUGUAUGCUCAGCCUGAAUCUUCAGUUCAGAUCAAUGGGAUCAAGAGAACUGGAAGUGAGAGGUUUGUGUGCUUACAUCACCACCCAACUGCUGUUCCACUGAAGCCCUCGGCAAAGCAGAGAUGUUGACUCCUAAGGGCAGUGUAUGGCAUAUCCCUGGCAUCACCUAAUUGCACAGUGGUGUUUUAGGAUUUCCCAGGGUCAACAAUGUACUGAGAUAUGUGGGAUCAGCAAGACACAGAGUCCCAUCGCAUCACCUAAUCUGUGGAGCUCACCAGCCAGGUUCUCUGCAUUUCCAUGAGCCCUAAUCAUUGCAAACAUCACUUCUGCUCCUGAACAGGCAAGUGCCUGAGGUCCACAUGCUUGUUCCCUUUCCCCCAGGUAGUUAUCUCGCCACUUGAUUUUCAGGAAAAUCCUAGGACAACUGGGACUAGACUGACACAAAAAAAUAAAAAAAAAAAAAAAAAAAAGUGAAAAAAGCA
rnacentral:lncRNA from 1 species